rnacentral:rRNA from 1 species
GGGGGGAGCAAGCGUUGUUCGGAAUCACUGGGCGUAAAGGGCGUGUAGGCGGUUUGGUAAGUGGGAUGUGAAAUGCCCCGGCUUACCCGGGGACCGGCAUCCCAAACUGCCAAGCUUGAGUAUGGGAGAGGAUGUGGGAAUUCCUGGUGUAGCGGUGAAGUGCGUAGAUAUCAGGAGGAACACCGGUGGCGAAGGCGCACAUCUGGCCCAAUACUGACGCUGAGGCGCGAAAGCUAGGGGAGCAAACGGGAUUAGAUACCCCGGUAGUCCUAGCCGUAAACGGUGAUCACUAGGUGUUGGAGGCAUCGACCCCUCCAGUGCCGCAGCUAACGCAUUAAGUGAUCCGCCUGGGGAGUACGGCCGCAAGGUUG